GUUCGUUUACAGAAGCGGCACCACCCUUCUCAAAGGAAAGUUGGGUUGUUUCACUUAUCCAACGCUUCAGAACUAAUGUGUCAUAUUUCAGGAGGGCGUGUCUGUCUGCUUGACUCAUCUCACACAGGUAAGGAGUGAACGUUACAUUCGCUGACACACACAACAAUUUGUUCACAUUAUUAUCUCGGAGAGUAGAGGAUUGUUUAUAUACAUACUGUAUGUGCUCACGAUUGUAUGCAAUCCCACCAUAAAAUGUCUUUUUCAGAUAGGAGGCGCUAUCAGGAUAGCACUUCCGCAUAGUUGUGACGUCAUGAUCAGUGUGUCGCCCGUGAUCACUGCUCUGGAGGGCUUUCCCACCAUGGAUCGAUUUCCCACUGACCUUUAGGUCGGACACGGCCGCACGAGCGUCAAGACCUGCCAUCAUCAUCAGGAGCGCUGACAGGAAGGAGACUGGUGCAGCACCCAGAAAGACGCAUAAGGUGCAGAGAGGCAGUAAGAAGAAGAUGUCUGCAGGGCAGAUGUUAAACACACUGUGACUGAGGUGAGGCAGGACAAGUCAGCACCACUGUCAGCGCAGCACAAGACACUCACAAGGUGGAGGCAGGAGGAAUUACACCAGCACAUAAGACACCAAGAAAUGUGGAAAACGAAGCGGUUCUUCGGCUUAAAUUCAAGCUGGCAGUCUUCAACCAUCACGUUUGUCCAUCAAGCAGUCGGGUACCUGUCUGUCAAAAGGUAACGUGAGAGCAGCUUGCAGCUUGCCUGGACAUGAGGCCUCAGAAAUCCUGCUGCUGUGAAAGUGAUCCAAUCAGCCCACACAGACGUGGGUAGCAAUCAAUGGGGAUGCACACUGGGGCCCCUGGCGAGAGAGACCGAAGCCAUCUGGAUAUGUUAGCAGGCUGACAGAGGAGGCCCACUGUGCAGGUAUACAGUGGAGGUGGAGUGGGCUGAGAUGUUGCCAGGGCUGGUGGUAACACACACAGAAUCCUACACGCUCCUUAUGAUGGCAGAAUGCCUCUGUAAACAUCUGUCAGCCAUUGCUUCUCCCCCCCCCUCUAUAGACCUCAGCAAUUCAGCAUGCCCUUUGACCUUCAACUGAAGAAAGAGCAACUGUGAGCUUGUACCAAAAUCAAACAUACAAGAAGAGCUUGUAUGUGGAUGAAUUAGUCUCUAUGGUUAGCAACUGAGACAACUACAGCUCGUGGUGAUAAUUGCACAGAUGUUUUCUUUGAAUUAUAAAUCACAUUCACCGAGGUUUGGAUUACAAGUAAUGUUGCCUGUGAAAUUAAAUAUUUCUCUGUUUGUGAGUUUAGUUCAUAAGACUAGAGUCUAAUCAUUAGACAAUUGAAGGUUUGAUCCACGAUAAUCUAAGCCCCUCUACAGACCCCCAAGACUAUAGUACCAUAGACUAGACGACAUAGACCAGAGACCCUCAUCAGUCUCUCUCGCUGCUUCCCCUCUGGAGCCUCAGGUUUCCCUUCCAUGCCUCCCUCCUCCCCUGCUCCCAGCAAGCCUCCGCAGGCCUCUCUCCCCACAUCAAUUAUAGCCUAUCCCCUGUAGCGCAGGCCCCUCCGAUUUUUGACCCCAGGGGUGAGCGAGUCAGCAAGGUUAGAGGUUGUUCUCCCCACAGCUCGCCCCGGCAUCUCUCAGAAGUCUGCAGCCCUGUAGUGCAGCACUAACCGGACCGUCAGGCGGCAUCAAGACCCCUUUCAUUAGUCAACUGGGUACUCCUGUACCAAAUCAUUUUCAAGUUUGCAUAUACACAUGUUGUUUUUCCAUGAAAAAACCCACCCUAAAGACAACCAAAUGGUGUGGUGAGCGCUCUAUCAAACGGAACAAGCCAAGUAAAACACGAGUAACUCAAAUUCACGACUUUAGUAAGUUUAUACUUUCCAUCACCGCUGUAUUAUUAUCCAAUGUAAAUCUUAUCAUUGGUCGAUCUUUGUCGGGAAUCCCCAAAAGCAUCUUGUAUUUCUCAGCUCUAC